rnacentral:rRNA from 1 species
GUUGGAAACGACUGCUAAUACCGCAUAACACUUUUUGGGGACAUCCCUGAAAAGUCAAAGCUUUAUGUGCUGAAAGAUGGCCUCGCGUCUGAUUAGCUGGUUGGCGGGGUAACGGCCCACCAAGGCGACGAUCAGUAGCCGGUCUGAGAGGAUGAACGGCCACAUUGGGACUGAGAUACGGCCCAGACUCCUACGGGAGGCAGCAGUGGGGAAUAUUGGGCAAUGGGGGAAACCCUGACCCAGCAACGCCGCGUGAAGGAAGAAGGCCCUCGGGUUGUAAACUUCUUUUACCAGGGACGAAGGACGUGACGGUACCUGGAGAAAAAGCAACGGCUAACUACGUGCCAGCAGCCGCGGUAAUACGUAGGUUGCAAGCGUUGUCCGGAUUUACUGGGUGUAAAGGGCGUGUAGGCGGAGGUGCAAGUUGGGAGUGAAAUCCCGGGGCUCAACCCCGGAACUGCUUUCAAAACUGCAUCCCUUGAGUAUCGGAGAGGCAAGCGGAAUUCCUAGUGUAGCGGUGAAAUGCGUAGAUAUUAGGAGGAACACCAGUGGCGAAGGCGGCUUGCUGGACGACAACUGACGCUGAGGCGCGAAAGCGUGGGGAGCAAACAGGAAUAGAUACCCUGGUAGUCCACGCUGUAAACGAUGAAUAUUAGGUGUGUGAGGGUGAGACCUUCCGUGCCGCAGAUAACACACUAAGUAUUCCACAUGGGGAGUGCGACAGCACGGUUGAAACUCAAAGGAAUAGACGCGGGGCCGCACACGCGCAGGAACAUGUGGUGUAAUUUGAUGAUAAGCGAGGAGCAUUACCCCGGCUCGAACUGCAGCAGACGUAUUUAGAGAGAGAUAUUCCCUUCGUGGCUGGAGAGGAGGUGCAGCAUGGUGGUCGUCAGUUCUCUGCCGCGAGUUGUGGGAUUAAGUGCCAUAACGAGCGCAACCCCCGUUUCCAUUUGCCAUCGGUUGAAACCGGCCACUCUGGAGAGACUGCCUCCGUAAGAAGGGAGGAAGGGGGGGAGGAGGUCAAAUCAUCACGCCCCUUAUUUCCGGGGUUACACACGUAUUACAAUGGGGCACACCAAAGGUAGGUAAAUCCUAGGGGGAAUCCAAACACUAAAAAGCCUUUCCAUUUGGGAUGGCGUGUGCAACCUGACCCCCAGAAGGUGGAAUUGGUUGUUAUUGGGCUUUAACCAAGGCGCGGUGAAUACGUUCCCGGGCCUUGCACUCACCGCCCGUCAA